rnacentral:miRNA from 1 species
UGGUUACCUGAGCCUCGGGCCAGCC